rnacentral:rRNA from 1 species
AGUGAACGCUGGCGGUAGGCCUAACACAUGCAAGUCGAACGGCAGCACAGUAAGAGCUUGCUCUUACGGGUGGCGAGUGGCGGACGGGUGAGGAAUACAUCGGAAUCUACUUUUUCGUGGGGGAUAACGUAGGGAAACUUACGCUAAUACCGCAUACGACCUACGGGUGAAAGCAGGGGAUCUUCGGACCUUGCGCGAUUGAAUGAGCCGAUGUCGGAUUAGCUAGUUGGCGGGGUAAAGGCCCACCAAGGCGACGAUCCGUAGCUGGUCUGAGAGGAUGAACAGCCACACUGGAACUGAGACACGGUCCAGACUCCUAAGGGAGGCAGCAGUGGGGAAUAUUGGACAAUGGGCGCAAGCCUGAUCCAGCCAUACCGCGUGGGUGAAGAAGGCCUUCGGGUUGUAAAGCCCUUUUGUUGGGAAAGAAAAGCAGCAGGUUAAUACCCCGCUGUUCUGACGGUACCCAAAGAAUAAGCACCGGCUAACUUCGUG